AUUGAACGCUGGCGGCAGGCCUAACACAUGCAAGUCGAACGAGUGGCGGACGGGUGAGUAAUUUCUGGGAAACUGCCUGAUGGAGGGGGCUAACUACUGGAAACGGUGGCUAAUACCGCAUACCAUCAGAUGUGCCCAGAUGGGAUUAGCUAGUGGGUGGGGUAACGGCUCACCAAGGCGACGAUCCCUAGCUGGGCUGAGAGGAUGACCGGCAACACUGGAACUGAGACACGGUCCAGACUCCUACGGGAGGCAGCAGUGGGGAAGAUUGCAAAAUGGGCGAAAGCAUGAUGCAGACAUGCCGCGUGUAUGAAGAAGGCCUUCGGGUUGUAAAGUACUUUCAGCGGGGAGGCGUUACCCGCAGAAGAAGCACCGGCUAACUCCGUGCCAGCAGCCGCGGUAAUAC
rnacentral:rRNA from 1 species